GAUUUCUGGUUGACUCAUUCGGUCCGCGCGGGAAACCGUGUGAGUAUUGAGUGGAGUCUACCAUCCAUGUGGAGAGGACGCUGCCGGCUCUGUCGGUUGGUGUUCCGAUCUGCAUCUUUUACUUUGAAAAAAUUAGAGUGUUUAAAGCAGGCUUGCGCUAUGAAUACAUUAGCAUGGAAUAAUAAUAUAGGACUUCGGUCUCUAUUUGUUGGUUCAUAGAACUGAAGUAAUGAUUGAUAGGGAUAGUUGGGGGUGCUCGUAUUCAGCGGCCAGAGGUGAAAUUCUUGGAUUCGCUGAAGACGAACUUAUGCGAAAGCAUU
rnacentral:rRNA from 1 species